GACGAACGCUGGCGGCGUGCUUAACACAUGCAAGUCGAACGGGAUGAUUUAGAAGCUUGCUUUUAGAGAAUCUAGUGGCAAACGGGUGAGUAACACGUAGACAACCUGCCGACAGGAUGGGGACAACAUUCCGAAAGGAAUGCUAAUACCGAAUGAAGCGGAGGAGAGGCAUCUCUCUUCCGUGAAAGAUGGCCUCUAUUUAUAAGCUAUCACCUGUCGAUGGGUCUGCGUCUGAUUAGCUAGUUGGUGAGGUAACGGCUCACCAAGGCGACGAUCAGUAGCCGGUCUGAGAGGAUGAACGGCCACAUUGGGACUGAGACACGGCCCAGACUCCUACGGGAGGCAGCAGUGGGGAAUCUUCCGCAAUGGGCGCAAGCCUGACGGAGCAACGCCGCGUGAGUGGAGAAGGUCUUCGGAUCGUAAAGCUCUGUUGACGGGGACGAACGUGCGAGAGGUGAAUAAU
rnacentral:rRNA from 1 species